rnacentral:misc_RNA from 1 species
AAUAUCUCAACAAAAAGCUUGUGCUUUUGCAUAGGAUUCUUUUUGGACAUUGGGAGUUGCUGGCUACUGUUAAAGUGGUUGGCUCUUCUGAAAUGAAUUAGUUGAGGAGCUUUGCACUCUAUUGGUGUGAUAGACUAUCUAUGCCAUGAGAUGCUUUUUAAUGAUCCUCUGCCUUCUAACUGUCUUUAAUCGGACAACAUGAUAA